UAUUUUUAAUUGACAUAGACCAAGUCAUCUAGUAAAAUGAGGAUGAUGCAUCGGGAAUAGCCGGGAUAGCUCAGCUGGUAGAGCA
rnacentral:tRNA from 3 species